rnacentral:rRNA from 1 species
CCGGUUGAUCCUGCCGGACCUGACUGCUAUCGGAUUGGUACUAAGCCAUGCGAGUCAUUGUAGCAAUACAAGGCAUACGGCUCAGUAACACGUAGUCAAUCUACCCUAUGGACGGGGAUAACCUCGGGAAACUGAGAAUAAUACCCGAUAGAUCAUAAUACCUGGAAUGGUUUAUGGUUCAAAUGAUUUUUCGCCAUAGGAUGGGACUGCGGUCUAUCAGCUUGUUGGUGAGGUAAUGGCCCACCAAGGCUAUAACAGAUACGGGCUCUGAGAGGAGAAGCCCGGAGAUGGGUACUGAGACACGGACCCAGGUCCUAUGGGGCGCAGCAGGCGAGAAAACUUUGCAAUGUGCGAAAGCACGACAAGGUUAAUCCGAGUGUUUUCUGCUAAAGAAAUCUUUUGUUAGUUCUAAAACCACUAACGAAUAAGGGGUGGGCAAGUUCUGGUGUCAGCCGCCGCGGUAAAACCAGCACCUCAAGUGGUCAGGAGGAUUAUUGGGCCUAAAGCAUCCGUAGCCGGCUAUGUUAGUUUUCGGUUAAAUCCAUGUGCUCAACACAUGGGCUGCCGAGAAUACUGCAUAGCUAGGGAGUGGGAGAGGUAGACGGUACUCGAUAGGAAGGGGUAAAAUCCUUUGAUCUAUUGAUGA